AGCCAUGAGAUCAUAUCUGGCGCUGGGCGAGACAGCAAGAGAGACUACAUUUUUGAGAACUUUUCUCAUGGCAGCGUAUGACCUUUUAGAGUAUUUCCAGACAAUAAACUGCAUCUGACUUCUUCAGGGAUGCUGGCUUCAUUGCAUGGAAGCAGGGAGAUGUAUGGCAAAGCAAAGUGGCCCGGCAGGGAACUCCUGUGCCCAUCGCUCCCUGCCAUCUUUUGAAAUGAGCAGGUUUAGCUUUCAGUAGCAUGAAGUGAAAUAAAAAAUGUAGGUGGGAAAAAGAAAAGGCAGGGGAAUAUCCACCUCCACACCCCAUCUCUGGAUUUAUAUAAAUUUUUGUCACAACUACUUAAACAGAUGAGAGUAGUAAAACAAAUCCCUACAGGUUUUUCUUAUUUUCAGUCCUACCAUUGAAUUUCUCAGGUACCUAUUAAUCUUUCAUACAUCAAAAGGGAUUUUAAACAACGGGUUUUGUAGGCAAAGCUGUAAGAAACUACAGAAAAGAACUGGAUUUCUUUUUUUUUUGUUAUUUUUAAAGACAAGCAACUGUUUUAAUUCAGUGACCCUCUAAGUAUGGAACAGAUGUGGAUCUGUUAUGAAUGCAGAUGUGGAACAGAUUUCUUCUAGCAAAGGCUUCCUAAGUUAAUAGUCUUAUCUGGAUAUUUAAAAGAUUUCCGUAAUGAAUGAACAAAACAACUUAAAUGACCAUAAGCAGAUUUCUUAUCCACUUAAACUGAUCCGGUGGAUGAAUAAUCGGCAUGUUGACCUGGUGGAUAAGUAUUCAACAAGCCAAACCAUUCACCAAAUUUUCCAUUUACUCACUUUCCCAUUCUGAGCACUGUGAUGAAAACUAAAGCUCUAGAAAAAAUAUCUGCUCUAGUGAAAUAAAAAAUGAGCUUCUGACAUUUUCCUGCCUUAGCCAUGGCCAUAAUUCACUGACAGUAACACAUGGAAGAAGAUUCCUUGGUAUGGGAGUGUCAGGAAAACGCAGCACUACCAAGACUCCUAAGUCUACCAGCAAGCUGGCAAAAGAGCAAGAAUUGAAAAUUAAAAAGAAGAAAAAAAUUACUAUUUAAACCUUGCUUUCUAUUCAGAGUAGACACAGUAAAUGACUGGAUUUCAAAGCUACACAGUCAAGUCCAUUCUAGUGUAAUUAAGUUCCUCAAAAAAGUCAGAAAGCUUAUUUACUUUUUUCCAUUGGGAAUCAUUAACUACGCAUUAAGAACCCCAGUCACAAUACCAAACCUGGCACAGGCUUGAUAAAGCUUGCUAGCAGCUGCAGCAAAGCCAGCAUACAGCCUGAAAGCACAUUUUAGGGGCCAGAUUAUCUUGGUUGCUACUUGAGAAGACAAGCCAAUGCCAGCAUCAGAAAGAGAAGACUGCAGUUUCUACGUCCCUGCCUCUCAUGUGAUCCCUGCAGCCAUGGCUUGAAAAAGAGCAUCAGAACACAGUGCAUGAACUCUUAGAGUCAUACAGCCACAUAAGCACUGCAGUUAACACUUUGGAAUAAUGAUUGCCUUCCAGCCUGAGCAUGACCCAUUGGAACAAACAAAACUUAGAAAAUCAGCAUAGGCAGCUGAAGGUGAAAACUGCAACCAUAGAAGCGAGAGAGAAUGAAAAGGCAUUUCGUAUCACCUCCUAUGCUUAAAUUUAUGCAGCACUAGUAGUACAGUAGAGCACUUGAAGGCUAUAAAUGCAACAAACCCAUGUGCAUCCUCUCCCCAUCCCCAUCUUCUGUAAGAAGGGAGAACAGUAGAGGAGCAAAGCAUUGUGGACAAAUCCAGAAAUACACUGCUGAACUCAAGAAACCUCUUGGUGGAGAAACAUGAAUCUUUCAGGUCAGUAACCAAGGCUGCAAAUAUCAUUUCAGAGCUGUGAUGUAUUGUACAGCAGCAUGUUAAAAUUACUGUUGUGAGCACUCAAAGCACAGUAGCUCUACUCAGAGUCCAGUUAAUGAAUGUACAGGAAAUGCAGUACUAAAGUCCUGUGGCAUAUACACAUGCAUACGCUCCUGUCAGCUAACCUAUAAACAUUAUGCGCACUAAAUCUGAAGUCACAGUCCUGGUCUAUUUUUUGCCAUUCUUCCCAUAAGAGAAACUAAAAAUAGGCCCAUGGGAACAGUGCAUGGGACUCUAAUCUUCAAAUCUUUAACUCUUACGGUAAAAAUUGUCUAGCAAUGCUUUUGAAGGGAUUCUUCAUGGAGUCUGCAUAAUAUAUUUAUGUAUCUAAGCACACCUACGUAUACAGGGAUAAUGAUAACCAUGAGAAAUUCUGGAUGCACACUACUGACUGGUUGCACACAUCUUCAAAGUUUGCUCAUAAAUGAUCUAUGAAGCUAAAAAUAAAGAUGCAGGGAAACCUGAGUAUGACCUCUUGUAACUCUCAACUUCUGCUCAUAGGCACAGGAUUAGGGGGAAAAAAAAAACCAAAAAAAAAACAGUUUUCUGAAGAACUGCUGUUAUGCUAUCAAGUAAAGCUACAGAGCUGGGUGCCAAAGAAUAUUGCCACUACUCUGCAGAAAGGAAAUUGUUAAAUUUAAAAUAAAAGAUACAUCAGUAAGGAGAAAAAAAAAAAAACAACCC